UACGAAGGUGACUAGCGUUGUUCGGAUUUACUGGGCGUAAAGCGCGCGUAGGCGGAUCGCUAAGUCAGGGGUGAAAUCCCAGGGCUCAACCCUGGAACUGCCUUUGAUACUGACGAUCUGGAGAUCGGGAGAGGUUGGUGGAAUUCCGAGUGUAGAGGUGAAAUUCGUAGAUAUUCGGAGGAACACCAGAAGCGAAGGCGGCCAACUGGCCCGAUACUGACGCUGAGGCGCGAAAGCGUGGGGAGCAAACAGG
rnacentral:rRNA from 1 species